AUAUGAAGGGAAACAGUGCGAUAUUUUUGCGCCGGACACCUGUGAAAUCUGGCCACAAUGACCACAUUGCCACUCGCUUGUAAUCUACUUGCAAACUAUCGUCUCAUAGCGGCUGCCUACCGAAGCUUAGUCGAAUCCUGCAGUCGCUUAAGCCUCACCUGGCAAAGACAUGGCAAAAACGCAGCUUUUUGCAGCCCUUCUUGUUACCGGUUUUGUGACACUUUUCAAACGUAUACAUGGCGGCUACGGUGGUGUCUUCAUUGCGGCACCGGAGAUGAGGAAGGAACACAGACCUUUAUAAACCAGUAUAAUAUUAGCACAGAAUGCUGUAUAAAUGACUGGCCCAGCGAUACUGACCGUGUAGGCGCAACGAAAGCGAAACGUGCAAAAAUUCCCCAUAGAAAGUACCGAAACAGAGACUGUGUGGUUUGUAGGCACAAGAGAACCUAUAUGGACGUACAGUGAGACAGGUAAAAGUCUUGUGCGAUGCAAGGUGGACAUAACAAGCACAAUGAAUAACAGGGCGGUAUUAUUCAGAAGAAUGUACUCCUAUGAGGGACAAAAAUAUUCUACCAAUCAAUGGGGAGUCUUCGAUAACAUUUACAAAGAGAGGAUGGUGAUACGGCCUGCAGGUCCUAUAUUUUACCAAAUGGAACAACUAAUAUUUAUGUCGAAGGACUACAGUUGUGCGGUGGUUAUGACAACGUUGAUCGGUACACACGUCUUCAUAGCUCCCACCCGCUGGUACGAGCUUCGAGUGCGGAACUCUUCCAUUGCUACGGGACCCCACGAGGACUGUUUGCAAGAAUUCACGGAUGUGGCAUACUCAAGGCGCAUUGUCUAUACACCAGAUUGCCAGAGAUUUGCUCUGUUCGACGAUGUAAAAUAGUAAUAAAAAUUAUACGGCGGGCGGUGAAGGCCAAAUGGCAGGCCACAGCUGGUGCUCCAUUAUUAA